GGUGCCUCGUUUUGAGUGUUGUGUUGAGUUUUAUUCAAAAACAAAAACAGGUUUUUCUAGAUUUAGUUUGUGUAAUGAGGUGCUGAAUACAGCCCAACCCUGCCUGGGAAUGUACACUCCAGCUAAACACAGAGACACGGGGAGAGACAUACACGGGGAGACAGGGAGAUUAAGAGAGAUGCAGACAAGAAGAUAUUAAGAUUUGACACAUAUACACAACGAGACAGACUAAAACACACUCAGACUCACACUCACGUAAACAUACACUGACGUAGACUCGCUCAUUCAGACUCAAACACACAAACACACUCGCUCACACAAGUAAACAUAGUCACACACACUCUCACAUACUCACGCACGGUCACAUAACACACUCACAAAAAUAUAGUCACACGCACUCACUCAGACUUACACACUCACUUAAACAUACAUUCUUAGUCUCACACACUCAGACUUACAUACUCAUUCAGACUCAUACACACGAGCCCAGCUGAUAGAGUGGGAUGCUGGCGAUCACCGCUGGUUGAAAACUGCAGCCUUCCAAGCUUCAGGGAUGCCGGUCACGGGAGAGCACGACCCUCCCCACUACUGCAGUGAUGACAGUUGCCAUGGGGCCGUGGCAAGGCAUCCCAGAGCCAAUUGCUGCACGAGGCUUCAGUACGUCUGCUCACCGCGUGGUCUCCUGCAGUUGGCCGAGGCGCUGCUCGCCCUGCUGGUGCUGGCCUGCGUGGCUUCAUCGCAGGCCGUGUUGGCCGGCUACAGCGGCACUGGGACCGGGCCUCGGCUAUGCGAGCUCUGAGCUAUCGGGCGGCUACUCCGGGUUCGAGGGAGCUGAGCUGCAGCCGAGCGCACGACCUGGACGCUGCCUUCACCCUUCUCAGGGCGCCGGCACUCUAUGGGGGGGUGGCGUUCUCCCUCGUGGCCGCUGUAGUCCCGAUCGGGGUCAUGCUGGCCGUGGCGCGGUAUGCAACAGUCGGUCGGGUUCAGUCGAGUUUAUAGGUAGUUGUAUGUGUGUGUGUAUGUUGAACUUAUUUGGCACUAUAUGUAGCCAACUGUGCCAAUCAGAGGUGCGGGGGGAAGGACAAUAAACUAAAACAACAGGGCAUUUCUAAAGAAAUUAGUUUGUCAAUAUAGGUGAUUUAAAAGUGAAUCACUCCAGUGGCUUCCAAAUAUCUGAAGAAAGAGAGAUCCAGACGGCCGCAGAAGUGCAUGUUAGAGUGUGUGAUACAGCGACAUUAUUUUUUUCGAUAGUUAGUCAAAAGUUUUGUAUACAAUGUUUAGUAUAGUGUAUAGUGUAUUAUAGUGCAGUGUCUAUAGCAUUUGAAGUCGCACGAUGAACAGACUGUCUUUAUUUGUGGGCUAUCCAAAAGUGUAAUGUAUAGUUUCGUGUAUAUCAGUGUAUACUAUAGUGUAUAGUCCUGCAUAAUGUAAUAUAUAGUUCAGUGUAUAGUGUAGUGUAUAUAUAUAUAAAAUCUAAAAGCGUGUGAUGCGGUGACCAUCUUUGUUCGAUGGCUAGCCAAAAGUGGCUGCGAGGAUGAAGGGAGUUUGUGUGAUUGCUCAUGCUCCUUGACGAGAUCAGCAAGGUACAGUAUUGUGGUUCAUUUGUGGCAAGAACGUUGUGUGUAACGAGU